rnacentral:rRNA from 1 species
GUGCCAGCAGCCGCGGUAAUACGUAGGUCCCGAGCGUUGUCCGGAUUUAUUGGGCGUAAAGCGAGCGCAGGCGGUUAGAUAAGUCUGAAGUUAAAGGCAGUGGCUCAACCAUUGUAGGCUUUGGAAACUGUUUAACUUGAGUGCAGAAGGGGAGAGUGGAAUUCCAUGUGUAGCGGUGAAAUGCGUAGAUAUAUGGAGGAACACCGGUGGCGAAAGCGGCUCUCUGGUCUGUAACUGACGCUGAGGCUCGAAAGCGUGGGGAGCGAACAGGAUUAGAUACCCUAGUAGUCC